rnacentral:lncRNA from 1 species
CUGAAGAAAGAUUUACUAAUUAGAGUUGUCCCAAUAUGGAUGGAUUGUGCCUCUCAGUUGUCAAUGAUGUUAUUGGAAAGAUUGAAAUUAGAAUGCUGGGAGAAGAGACCCUGGCUUCUGUGAAAGAUUUAAUCUCUGAGGAGCAAAAGGACGGGGAGUUUUACAGCCUGGGAUAUAGAGUGGGUGUUUACUGGGAGGAUCCCAUUAAAGGCUAGGCUGUCCCCAAACUUGCAGUGAUCUUCUGGCUUCUACCGCCCAAGUGUUGGAAUUACAGAUGUACAAUAUCAUGCCUAGCUUGACACAGGAAAUCCCAAACACACGCAGAAGGUAUCUUAAGAGUAUUUGACGAAAAGAUUUGACUUAAAAUUGGAACAUAAGUGUUAAAUUGUUACUCACUACAGUGGAGGACAGAAGACAAGGAAGGAUGUUGGAUGAAGAAAUAGAGAAGGCAGACAAACUGGAUAACCAGAGCCUUGAUAUCUUUUCCUAAACGACAAGCCCAAGUUUGCUGGCUGAGAAAGAUGGACAGAUGUGAACAAAAUAAAAAAGGAGCAUUACUUCUGGUGUGGGAAGUUGUAUUGGUUUAGUUUUCUGUCAUCUUGAGACAAACUAGA